rnacentral:rRNA from 1 species
AACGAACGCUGGCGGCAUGCCUAACACAUGCAAGUCGAACGAGACCACCGGGAGUAGUGGCGCAUGGGGGCGUCACGCGGCGGAAGCGUCCCUUAGGUUUGGAAUAACUCUCCGACAUGGGUGCUAACACCGGAUAAUGUCUGCUGACAAAAGAUUUAUCGAAUUUGGUUGGGCGGGCGUUGUCUUAGCCAGUUGGGAGUGUAAGAGCCUACCAAGGCGACGAUCCAUAGCUGGGUUGAGAGAAAGAUCCGCCACACUGGGACUGGGACGCGGCCCGGACUCUUACGGGAGGCGGCAGUGGGUAAUCUAGGAAUAUCGGCGGAGUCAAGAAGCAGCAAGGCUGCGUAAGUGAUGAAGGCCUUAGAGAUGUAAAGCUCUUUUACCCGGGAUGGUAAUGACGGUACCGAGAGAAUAAGCACCGGCUAACUCCGUG